rnacentral:rRNA from 1 species
CCAGACUCCUACGGGAGGCAGCAGUGGGGAAUAUUGCACAAUGGGGGGAACCCUGAUGCAGCGACGCCGCGUGUGGGAAGACGGUCCUCUGGAUUGUAAACCACUGUCCCCAGGGACGAAGAUGACGGUACCUGGGGAGGAAGCUCCGGCUAACUACGUGCCAGCAGCCGCGGUAAUACGUAGGUGACAAGCGUUGUCCGGAUUUACUGGGUGUAAAGGGCGCGUAGGCGGACUGUCAAGUCAGUCGUGAAAUACCGAAGCUUAACUUCGGGGCUGCGAUUGAAACUGACAGCCUUGAGUAUCGGAGAGGAAAGCGGAAUUCCUAGUGUAGCGGUGAAAUGCGUAGAUAUUAGGAGGAACACCAGUGGCGAAGGCGGCUUUCUGGACGACAACUGACGCUGAGGCGCGAAAGUGUGGGGAGCAAACAGGAUUAGAUACCCCAGUA